GAUGAACGCUGGCGGCGUGCCUAAUACAUGCAAGUCGAGCGAACAGACGAGGAGCUUGCUCCUCUGACGUUAGCGGCGGACGGGUGAGUAACACGUGGAUAACCUACCUAUAAGACUGGGAUAACUUCGGGAAACCGGAGCUAAUACCGGAUAAUAUAUUGAACCGCAUGGUUCAAUAGUGAAAGACGGUUUUGCUGUCACUUAUAGAUGGAUCCGCGCCGCAUUAGCUAGUUGGUAAGGUAACGGCUUACCAAGGCAACGAUGCGUAGCCGACCUGAGAGGGUGAUAGACCCCACUGGAACUGAGACACGGUCCAGACUACUACGGGAGGCACCAGUAGGGAAUCUUCCGCAAUGGGCGAAAGCCUGACGGAGCAACGCCGCGUGAGUGAUGAAGGUCUUCGGAUCGUAAAACUCUGUUAUUAGGGAAGAACAAAUGUGUAAGUAACUAUGCACGUCUUGACGGUACCUAAUCAGAAAGCCACGGCUAGCUACGUG
rnacentral:rRNA from 1 species